rnacentral:rRNA from 1 species
CGCGUAGGCGGCUGCGCAAGUCGAACGUGAAAUCCCUCGGCUCAACCGGGGAACUGCGUCCGAUACUGCGUGGCUCGAGUCCCGGAGAGGGUAGCGGAAUUCCCAGUGUAGCGGUGAAAUGCGUAGAUAUUGGGAGGAACACCAGUGGCGAAGGCGGUUACCUGGACGGGUACUGACGCUGAGGCGCGAAAGCUAGGGGAGCAAACA